rnacentral:ncRNA from 1 species
UUAUUGGAGAGUUUGAUCCUGGCUCAGGACGAACGCUGGCGGCGUGCCUAAUACAUGCAAGUCGAGCGAAUCAAUGGGAGCUUGCUCCCUGAGAUUAGCGGCGGACGGGUGAGUAACACGUGGGUAACCUGCCUGUAAGAUUGGGAUAACUCCGGGAAACCGGAGCUAAUACCGGAUAACAUUUUGAACCGCAUGGUUCAAAAUUGAAAGGUGGCUUUUGCUACCACUUACAGAUGGACCCGCGGCGCAUUAGCUAGUUGGUGAGGUAACGGCUCACCAAGGCAACGAUGCGUAGCCGACCUGAGAGGGUGAUCGGCCACACUGGGACUGAGACACGGCCCAGACUCCUAC